rnacentral:rRNA from 1 species
GAUGAACGCUGGCGGCGUGCCUAAUACAUGCAAGUCGAACGCAUUGUGGUUGAAAUGAUAUGAAGAACUUGUUCAGAUUUGAUUUUCAACAUUGCAAUGAGUGGCGAACGGGUGAGUAACACGUGGGAAACCUACCUCUUAGCAGGGGAUAACAUUUGGAAACAAAUGCUAAUACCGUAUAAUAAUUAAAACCGCAUGGUUUUAGUUUAAAAGAUGGUCUUGCUAUCACUAAGAGAUGGUCCCGCGGUGUAUUAGUUAGUUGGUGAGGUAAUGGCUCACCAAGACAAUGAUACAUAGCCGAGUUGAGAGACUGACCGGCCACAAUGGGACUGAGACACGGCCCAUACUCCUACGGGGAGG